GUUUGCAUGUUGCAUAACCUUUAUCUGAUCCCUUAUAAAUUGAUUUAUAAUAGGAUAAACCAUUUAAUGGGCUGCCAAGUGAUUAUAUUUACAAUUAUUAAAUAUUUCAUCAGCCCAGACAUUGUGAGUGAUUGUUAAUUAGCGCAGAGAUUAUGACUGACAACAAAGUGGGAGACAAUUUAUUUUAUUAUACAAAUGUUUAGAUGUCUAUGCAGUGAAUGACAUUAAAAAGCGUGGGGAACGAUGAUAUAUUACACAAACGUCAUCCAAUAGUUCAACUAUUGAUAGGAAAUCCAGUGAAGAAAUUUUUCCAAAAAAAGUUCCCCCAGGGAAGGUUUCCCAUUGUCACUCUUCACAAUCUAUACCACUCAUUCAAGUAAAAACAUGAAGGUACAUGAUCACGAAAGAUUUAUAAGUCAGUUCGAGAAAUAAGAAAUGUAAAUUACUUUGUAUAGAAUAAAUAAAAUGAAAAAAU